UACGUAGGCAGCAAACGUUGUUCGGAAUUACUGGGCGUAAAGGGCGCGUAGGCGGCCGCCUAAGUCAGACGUGAAAUCCCUCGGCUCAACCGGGGAACUGCGUCUGAUACUGGGUGGCUUGAAUCCGGGAGAGGGAUGCGGAAUUCCAGGUGUAGCGGUGAAAUGCGUAGAUAUCUGGAGGAACACCGGUGGCGAAGGCGGCAUCCUGGACCGGCAUUGACGCUGAGGCGCGAAAGCCAGGGGAGCAAACGGG
rnacentral:rRNA from 1 species